rfam:Micromonospora echinofusca strain DSM 43913 genome assembly, chromosome: I
CUUGAUCGAGCCGAGCAGCAGCGGCGCGGCGUCGCCGCGCUCCCGGCCGUACGUGGCGAGCAGGGCCUGGGCCUC